rnacentral:lncRNA from 1 species
GUUAGACCCCUCUCAUUAGGGAAAGCAGAAGUUCAUGGUCUUAAAAUAGAUCCAUUGUGUAUGCAAGAGUAAGACCAUCAGCAAAGCGGCUCUUCCUGUUAUUUCACUUCUCAAUUCUAAGCUUGGCUCUUCUCAACCUGUUUUUAUAGACUCUGUUAGAAACUUCAACUUGGCUUUUUGGGAAGGCAUUUGCUGAUGCAUCUGGCCACUGGGAAUUUUGCAAAUUCUGUCACAAAUUCCCCAAUGAGCCCUUGUGUCAGAGAAUGUACCAGAAAGAUCCACCCUGACCACCUCCACAACUUAGGAAGGCAUCUGCUGCCACCAGGCCGUCCUCAGCGAGCAGCACUAACGAAGUCUGGAACUGAGAUGCUCAGAGAAAGCAGCCUUUAUUUUCCUUUUGUUGUUUCUCAUUUUCUUUCUUCUUCCUUUUCAUUGCCUCUUGCAAGCAAAGAAUGGAGCCCUUCGGGGGUCUACUUAGUUUUCACUCUUGUCCCAAAUCAGAGACAACAAUGGAGAAUUUCUGGAAGCUAUUCUCUGGCUAGAAUCAUGCUCCAGGAUUGGCAUCACCUGAGCGCCUGCAGAAUUUCAGGAUCCAUCCCAGAACUAUGCAACAAGGAAGUGCAUUUUAACAAGUUUGUAAGCACAGUCAAGUUUGAGGAGUACAGAGAAAGCAAACCUUAUUCACUGAACUUGGGUUUUGUAAAUUAGGGACCUUGUUUGAAAUUUUUGGGUCACAGCGCCACCUUGUGGUUAGUUUGGUAGUUGCGAUUGAGCUUUGUGGUGGAUGAACUUUCACAUCAGCAGUCAGCUGAUUUAUCCUUGGAGGGGAACGGACGGCCAUUGUACUGCUGCCUAGAGGUCUCCGACUGCGCCCUUUCUCCAACAUACUGUCAACUGAAACGAUAAGGGCCUUCUUCCAAAGAUGCCUUCUAUCCAUGCUCAGAAGAGUGUCUCACAGGCUUGUGCAGUUUCUGCAUUGGUGACAGCGACAUUAAAACAUCAAGAGAUCAAAGAAUGUCUUCCCUCUUCACAAGAUUUUUCAUAAAAUUCAUAAAACCAUUACAACUCAGAUGCACAAAGGACAAUUUUUAGAGAUCAUAUAGAUUGAGUGACCCCCACCUUUAAGAGCGCUGUCUGUUCCUAGCUCUGCUCUAAACACCCAUGAAUGUUUAGUCAUUGAAACAUCAUAAAGAAUCAGUGAGGCAGGUGCAAUAGUAUCUCUAUUUGUAGAUGCCCAUUUGACAGUAAUUUUUUGUUGUAUUUGUUGGAUGGAAAAAUCAAUACUAAUGAGAAACUAUUGCAGGUUUUUUUUCCCUUAUCCAAAAAUCUGAAAUGCUCCAAAAUCUGAAAUGUUUUGAGAAUCAAUGUGAUACCACAAGUGGAAAAUUUAAUCCCUGACCUG